rnacentral:rRNA from 1 species
ACUCCUACGGGAGGCAGCAGUGGGGAAUUUUGGACAAUGGGCGAAAGCCUGAUCCAGCAAUGCCGCGUGUGUGAAGAAGGCCUUCGGGUUGUAAAGCACUUUUGUCCGGAAAGAAAUCCUUGGCUCUAAUACAGUCGGGGGAUGACGGUACCGGAAGAAUAAGCACCGGCUAACUACGUGCCAGCAGCCGCGGUAAUACGUAGGGUGCGAGCGUUAAUCGGAAUUACUGGGCGUAAAGCGUGCGCAGGCGGUUUGCUAAGACCGAUGUGAAAUCCCCGGGCUCAACCUGGGAACUGCAUUGGUGACUGGCAGGCUAGAGUAUGGCAGAGGGGGGUAGAAUUCCACGUGUAGCAGUGAAAUGCGUAGAGAUGUGGAGGAAUACCGAUGGCGAAGGCAGCCCCCUGGGCCAAUACUGACGCUCAUGCACGAAAGCGUGGGGAGCAAACAGGAUUAGAUACCCGAGUAGUCCCAUGAU